rnacentral:rRNA from 1 species
UACGGGGGGGGCAAGCGUUGUUCGGAAUUACUGGGCGUAAAGGGCGCGUAGGCGGCAUGGCAAGUCGGGAGUGAAAGCCCGGGGCUCAACCCCGGAACGGCUUUCGAAACUGCCAAGCUAGAGUACGGAAGGGGCAACUGGAAUUCCCAGUGUAGCGGUGAAAUGCGUAGAUAUUGGGAAGAACACCGGAGGCGAAGGCGGGUUGCUGGGCCGAUACUGACGCUGAGGCGCGAAAGCCAGGGGAGCAAACGGG